UGUGUCCCGUAUGCCCCUGCACGCGGAGGUGCAGACGGAAGGGAAGCCUUAGUACGUUGUCGUAGACAACAAUUGGUGACCCCGAUGUGAUAAGAUGGAGCGCGGAGAGGCGCUUGGAGCGCAGGGGUGCUCGAGAAGGAGCGCGGAGGGGCGCUUGGAGCGCAGGGGCGCUCGAGGGGGAGCACGGAGAGGUGCUCGGAGCGCAGGGGCGCUCGACAGUGUACUCCAGUAUGUCUUCGUCGCUGGAGAGGAUGCUCUGAGUGCCUAGUUUGCUUGUCUCUGCCUCUGAGACAAGCCAUCCUGGAGUGGACGCAUAAAACCUUGAAGGCGUGGCUCCGAGCCUUAAAAGAGGGGGGAGAGCUGACGAGUCCAGAACUGUGUCCCCAUGCCUUGAUUCUUCAAUUCAUCGGGACUACAUGAACACCUCCUUCCUCUUGGCUGGUGUCCCUCGUCUCCGCAAGUCUACGGAUACUACUUCUUGUCAGAAAAGGACUGCUCUUACUAUCUACUAUAUUUCGGCUGCUGCAACGGCUCAUCGAGAACAUUGUUUCAAAAACAGUACAGGUUGACCUGCUGAUAUCUAAUUAUCAGCGCUUAUGUCAAGAUCUGCUUGAAGAAGGGCCAA